rnacentral:lncRNA from 1 species
UGAAAUGCGCGAAAAAUUACGGGGCAAAAUUACAAAGCUAAAAGAAAUUAACAGGAUUUAAUUAAAACAUGGUGAAAAAGCGGAGGGACUCGUCGCAUAAAUAUCCCAUUUACAAAGAAAACACGUCGAUCUUGGCUCAAGCUGGUUGAAAAAAUAAAAAGUCCCAUUUUUCGGGUUUUUCGGGUCCCCGAGCGUAAAGACGUCGUUUUUCAUCGGAAACGACGAAUCUGGGCCACCCUCGGUGGUGCAAAACGCAAGAAAAGGUGAGUUUUUG